CUUGUAAACUGCCUUUUGGAUGAGCAAAGAGCAAUGGAGUAUGAAGUCAUCAAACUUUGACAUAGAAGUUUUUCAGUCUCUGCUGGAAUUGAAAAGUGAAUCCCAUUCACUAAGGAGACAGGGACCAGAGGGACAUUCCUGGUGGGACAAAGACACAUGAAGAAAAAAGUAAUCUAUGAAACAGCCUUGUGAGUGUCAAACAGAGAGAAGCACUGCAAAGGAACAUGAAGCUUGAGAGUGACUGAGCUGAAAAGGAGG
rnacentral:lncRNA from 1 species